rnacentral:rRNA from 1 species
UACGUAGGGGGCAAGCGUUGUCCGGAUUCAUUGGGCGUAAAGAGCGUGUAGGCGGUUUUGUAAGCCAGAUGUGAAAUCCCCGGGCUUAACCUGGGAAUGGCAUUUGGGACUGCAAGGCUGGAGUGCGGCAGAGGAGACUGGAAUUCCUGGUGUAGCAGUGAAAUGCGUAGAUAUCAGGAGGAAUACCGAUGGCGAAGGCAGGUCGCUGGGCUGACACUGACGCUCAUGCACGAAAGCGUGGGGAGCAAACAGG